UGAGGCGAGGCAAAGCGGUAAGGCAACGGGUAUUGGUCCCGCUAUUCGGAGGUUCAAAUCCUUCCGUCCCAG
rnacentral:tRNA from 1 species